rnacentral:rRNA from 1 species
CUAGGGAUUAGAUAACCUAUUAUUAAAAAUGUAAAUUUUUUUACUUAAUUAGUAUUAGUUAUGUUCUUGAAAAUUAAAAAAUUUGGCGGUAUUUUAGUCUUUUCAGAGGAACCUGUUCUAUAAUCGAUAGUCCACGAUUAGAUGCACUUUAUUUAUUAGUUUAUAUAUCGUCGUAGUUUAAAUAUUUUAAUAGAAUUAUAAAUAUUUAAAAUUUUUUAUUAAAAAAUAAAUCAGAUCAAGGUGUAGUUUAUAAUAAAGAAGAAAUGGGUUACAAUAAAUUUAUUUUAAAAUAAUUUUUGUUAAAAAAAUUUGAAUUUGGAUUUGAGAGUAA